UCCUGGCUGGCUCAGUUGGUAGAGCAUGAGACUCUUGAUCUCAGGGUCUUGAGUUCAAGUCCCAUGAUGGGUA
rnacentral:tRNA from 1 species